AGAGUUUGAUCAUGGCUCAGGAUGAACGCUGGCGGCGUGCUUAACACAUGCAAGUCGAACGAGGAUUUAACGGAAUGCGAUUCGUCAAAUGAAAUUAAAUCCGAGUGGCGGACGGGGGAGUAACACGUGGGUAACCUGCCUAAAAGAAGGGGAUAACACUUGGAAACAGGUGCUAAUACCGUAUAUCUCUAAGGAUCGCAUGAUCUUUAGAUGAAAGAUGGUUCUGCUAUCGCUUUUAGAUGGACCCGCGGCGUAUUAACUAGUUGGUGGGGUAAUGGCCUACCAAGGUAAUGAUACGUAGCCGAACUGAGAGGUUGAUCGGCCACAUUGGGACUGAGACACGGCCCAA
rnacentral:rRNA from 1 species